GUCCUUUUAGAGACAUUCGAUAAAGUUGGAACAAUACAGAGAAGAUUAGCAAAACCCGUGUUAAGUAUGCGAGGAACAAAUCAAAAAAACAAAAACAAAAAUUUU
rnacentral:snRNA from 1 species